rnacentral:sRNA from 1 species
UCACGUAGAUGCGAUUGGUGCUCAUGCACGU